rnacentral:lncRNA from 1 species
GGAAAUCUACAUUAAAACAACAGAGCUAGCCCAGAGACAUCCAAGGCUUAGAAAAGCAUAGCAAAAGCCAAAUAGAAACAGCCAAUUUAUUUUGUCACCAUCUUGGAUUACCAUGCACACAUGGCAGGCAAAAGUAGAGGUUUUGGCUUCUUUUCAUAUACAAAGCUCAUAUGCUAGCAACACUUGCUUAGCUAAGACUACAUUCAAUGAUGCUUGUUAGCAACAUUGCAUUGCAACCUAAUCUCACCCUCAGUGCCAGUGAGAGGAUUGUUCUCAGUGAGCUUAGUGAUGGCUCUUGAGUACUCCUUGAAGAAAUAAUCUUGGCUCUUGGCCAUUUUCUUGACAUAUGGCUUGGUCCUCUUGUCUGUGGCUAGUUGAUGAUCCACUAUCAAGAGUCCCUUGUUGUCCAAUAUGUUUCUGUAGUAGUUGUUGUCUAGAAUCAUGGGGGUGCCUCUGUCAUUUCUCACAUAUUGCACUGCCUUUGGGUCUGGGAUCUGGUCAGGGCACUUGUGAAGCAUGUGCUCAACAUGACCAGGGUUCAAGGCUGGGUCAACCUCAGGGUAUAAUCUGUGCACCAGCUUCACACAAUGGGUUCUGCCAACACUGUGAGAUCCUGUAAACAAGAUAACCACCAAAUGAAUACAACCUUUAAAGAUCUACACACACAUAUACUGUCUAGGCUCGAGUCCCGACUGAACUUUAAAAAUUUAGUAAAUUCUGGAGAUUUAAUAUAUUGUACCUAGCAAGGCAACAAGUCCAGGGGUGUCAAUUCCCAUGGCAGCAAACCUUUCAAGAACAACAGUCAUGCUUUCAUUGUGGUCAGGGAGGUAUUGCUCUAGUAUAUCUGCUCUACUUUUUCUACCAUCUCUUCUUCCUGUUUUAAGAGGGAUGUGUGGGCCUCCAAGCUGCAAAACAGUCAUCUUAUUAGCAUUUAUAUAAACAAGAUAAGAAAGUCAUGUCACAGUCCACAUCUGAUUCAACUACACACCAAAGGUGCAACAAUCAGGUUGCAGAAAAUAGAGAAACCAGGUUAAACAGUUGGAUCUUGUGAUCUAUCAACACUGAAUAGUGUAAAAAUGGGAAUAUUUCUUGAAAAGGGAGAAAAGGGCAGGUGACUCACAGCAACAAUUCCAUCUCUACCAGAUAAAACAAGGAUAUCAGCACAGGAAACCACUCCGGGGCACUCUCUCUCCACAGCUUCUUUAAUAGUCUCAAUAUAUCUGAAGUUUCUGAGGCCAAAGCUCCUGUCUGUUUCUUUCUCAGAAAGAGUCCUCCUUGUUGAGUCCAGCAACAAUGAAGCAUCACAUCUCUGAAACAACAACAUAACACAUAUCAAUAAACAGGGUUAUAUAUCAAAAUGGUCACUGAAGUGGAGGUCAUGUAUCAGUUCGUUCACCAAUUUAACGGGGUAUAAUUUGAAUUAUUUGCAUGUAUAUAAAAUUAAAAGAAUGUAUAAAUACCUGAACAGCACAGUCAUGGAAGAUGUUUCUGAGCCAAGAGAAAGCAGUGUUCUUGUGGCGCUUGUAGAGAAGCUGGACUUGUUCUUUGAUGAUGUCU